rnacentral:rRNA from 1 species
CAGCAGCCGCGGUAAUACAGAGGGUGCAAGCGUUAAUCGGAAUUACUGGGCGUAAAGCGCGCGUAGGUGGUUCGCCAAGUUGGAUGUGAAAUCCCCGGGCUCAACCUGGGAACUGCAUCCAAAACUGGCGAGCUAGAGUAUGGUAGAGGGUGGUGGAAUUUCCUGUGUAGCGGUGAAAUGCGUAGAUAUAGGAAGGAACAUCAGUGGCGAAGGCGACCACCUGGACUGAUACUGACACUGAGGUGCGAAAGCGUGGGGAGCAAACAGGAUUAGAUACCCCGGUAGUCCCUGUCUCUUAUAA